AUGCCGGGGCUCGCCGCAGCGGACGCCUCGCCGCCGGCCGCGGCGCCGGCGCCGCGGCGGCUCUCCUCGCCGCUGCCGAGGCGGGCGCCGCCGUCGCCGUCCCCCUCGUCCGCGUCCCGNNNNNNNNNNNNNNNNNNNNNGAAGUCGCUGGGGCAGGGCCAACACCCGGAGGCGACGGACGAGGCGGCGCUGGACAACCCGGAUCUGGGCCCCUUCCUGCUCAAGCAGGCCCGGGACGCCAUGGUGUCCGGCGAGGGCGGCGGCGCGGCGCGCGCGCUGGAGUUCGCCGAGCGCGCGGCCCGCGCGCUCGAGCGCCGCGGCGAGGGCGCCGAGCUCGAGCUCGCCAUGAGCCUCCACGUCGCCGCCGCGAUCCACUGCGGGCUGGGCAGGCACGCCGACGCCGUGCCCGUGCUCGAGCGCGCCGUCGCCGUCGUCACCCCGCCGGCCCCCGCGGCCGAGGGCGAGGAGGCGCCGCAGCCGGAGGAGGAGCAGGUGGUGGAUGAGCGCAAGGGGGAGGAGUGGGCGCUCGCCGCCUUCUCCGGCUGGAUGCAGCUCGGUGACACCCACGCCAUGCUCGGCCGCAUGGACGAGUCCAUCGCCUGCUACGGCAAGGGCUUCGAGAUCCAGAUGGCCGCGCUCGGCGACCGCGACCCCCGCGUCGCCGAGACCUGCAGGUACCUGGCUGAGGCGCAUGUGCAAGCUCUGCAGUUCGACGAGGCAGAGAAGCUGUGCCGCAAAGCCCUCGAGAUCCACCGGGAGCACAGCGCCCCUGCAUCCCUCGAGGAGGCCUCCGAUCGCCGCCUGAUGGCCCUUAUCCUGGACGCCAAGGGUGACUACGACGGCGCCCUGGAGCACCUUGUGUUGGCUUCCAUGACCAUGGUUGCCAAUGGACGUGACGUUGAGGUUGCCACCAUCGAUGUCGCGAUAGGCAACACCUACCUGGCCCUUGCUCGUUUCGACGAGUCUGUCUUCUCAUACCAGAAGGCAUUGACUGUUCUCAAGUCUGCCCGUGGCGACGACCACCCUUCGGUGGCAUCCGUCUUCGUCCGCCUUGCAGAUCUCUACCACCGAACGGGGAAGCUCCGGGAGUCCAAAUCCUACUGCGAGAAUGCUCUCCGUGUCUAUGCGAAGCCCGCGCCUGGUGCUGCCCCUGAUGAGGUUGCUGGAGGCCUAAUGGAGAUUGCUGCCAUCUAUGAGGCGCUUGGAGACCUUGAUGAGGCCCUAAAGCUUCUUCAAAGGGCCCUGAAGUUGCUCGAGGACUCACCAGGGCAGUGGAGCACUGUUGCUGGGAUCGAAGCACAAAUGGGUGUGCUGUACUACAUGAUAGGGAGGUAUGCCGAUUCAAGGAACUCGUUCGAAAGCGCGGUUUCCAAAUUGAGGGCCAGCGGGGAAAGGAAGUCGGCAUUUUUCGGUGUUCUGCUGAACCAGAUGGGGCUAGCUUGCGUACAGCUGUUCAAGAUUGAUGAGGCUGCACAGCUGUUUGAAGAAGCACGCGCAGUUCUAGAGCAGGAGUGUGGUGCCUCUCAUCCUGAUACUCUUGGCGUGUACAGCAACCUGGCUGCGAUCUAUGAUGCCAUGGGAAGGGUGGAGGACGCGAUCGAGAUCCUGGAGCACGUGCUGAAGGUGCGGGAGGAGAAGCUGGGCACGGCGAACCCGGACGUGGAGGACGAGAAGAAGCGGCUGGCGGAGCUGCUGAAGGAGGCGGGGCGGUCCCGGAACCGGAAGCAGAAGUCGCUGGAGAACCUGUUCGGGUCCGGCGGUGCUGCGCGGGGCGCCAAGAAGGACGGCGCCGGGGGCAGGCGGUGGACCAACUUCGGGUUCAGGAGCUGA
rnacentral:rRNA from 1 species